rnacentral:lncRNA from 1 species
GAGAGAGAGAGAGAAAUGGGCCUUUUUCCCACCCAGUCCAACAGCUUAGGCUAUCUCCAACAAGAGAGUCUAAAGGGCCAAUUCUUAUAUUUUAGCCCUAAUAUGGUCUCCAACAAUAAAUUAUAAGAAAAUUAUAAGAGGGCCAAAGGGCCAUGAAAAGUGUAAUACCCCGAAAAUUUGAUAUUAGUUUCUAAUAUUAUUUGGGAGUUUUCGAGUUAGAAGUUGGUGUGUUUUGGAGGUUCGAAGAAAGAGCGGAAGUGUUCGGACGCGUUUUUACCCGAAAACGGUUUUAUGGUUUCGAAGGGUCAAGAGUUGACUUUUUAAUUUGUUGGGUUUCUCGAGAAACUUCCUUCACGGAAGUUGUAGAGCACGACGAUACGAGUUCGUAGACACGUGGCACGCGUAAAACGGACUUCGUAUGUGGAAGUUAUGGUCAACAGAAGUUCGUGGCUUUAUGGGUUGCUUGGGUUAAAUAAGAGAAGUUAGAGGGUUCUACUUCAUUUUUUCCGGAACCCAUUCUCCUCUCUCUUUUCUUCUCUCUCGCGACACCUUCACAGUCCGAGUUUCCCAGCCGACCCGACCCGGACCCGGUUGACCUGACCCGGAUUUUCCGGCCACCUCCGAAUGACCCAGACGACGGCACCAGUCGGGUUCUCUUCCUCUCCUCCAUCCGAGCUGCCCUGUGGUGGUGACUUGCGCCGUUUCAACCCCGAAUCGGUGACCCGAAGCUCGGAAGCUCGGGUUAGAGACCCGGUCGAGUUUCAGACCUCCGGCGGCGGCGACAAGGUGGGAGACUGUUCGGGAUAGGAGCCCCGUGGCGUCCUGGUCCGACUUCUGGUGGCCCUGGAGCGUGACUCUCGGUGUAGAGUGGUGGUGGUGGAAUUCGACAUUCCCGGCGAGUUUCCGGCGACUUCCCGGCCGUUUUGGUUUCGACCUCAGGUAUGGAAGUUGCUCUCCUUGCUCUGAGCUAUACUUUUGGUGUUGGAAGUUUGUCUGUUUUCAAAGGUUAGUGGGGUGGCGCGUGGGCCCCAUGCGCAGUCGCUAGGGGCAGCGCGUAGCGGCGCGUCCGUAGGUGGUUGUGGUGUUUGUGUUGUGGGUUAGGUAGUACUCGUUGAUACGAUCAUGUUGAUAUAUGGUUUGUAGGUUUUGGUUACCGAUGAUGCAUGCUAGGGUUUCCCUCUUGAAUGCUAGGUUUCGUUCGGUUUCCAUUUUUAAGUAUAGGUUUGUGGUUUUAUAAGUUGUGUAGGAUGUUCAGGCGACCUUUUCGAGGUAUAGGGAGAGGUUUUGUCUCGAGUGACAAGUUUGUGGGUUAGGACUUGAGUUUUGGUUCGAGUCGGUUUAUGUUGUUUUCAUAGUUGCUAAGGUUAACGUUUUUGUUAAUAGGAGACUUGUGGUGUGAUUUUGUGCUAUAUGCUUGUGUCGUGCGUGCGAAGACGCAGCUGGAUUUGAGGUGAGUAACAUCUCACCAGGGUCCACUUUCGGACCAUUUAUUUUAUAAUUAUUAUGAUGUGAUUGUGAUGUGUUUUUUUGAAGAUGAUUAUGAUGAUGAUUGUGAUGUUAAUGAUUAUGAUGAUUAUUGUUAUGAUGAUGAUGAGGUUAAUGAUAAUGAUGGAAAUGUUGAUGAUAUGAUGAUUACGAUGCAAUCAUUAUAUUGUGAGUAAAAUCUCACUAAGGUCCACUUUGUGGCCUAUUGAUUUUGAUAUGAUGUUGAUGAUAAUUAUUAUGAUAAUUAUUAGGAUGAUGAAUAUGAUGGUGGUCUUGAUGAUGAUGAUUUUGAUGAUGAUUUUGUUGAUGAUGAUGAUAAUUAUUGCUAAUUGUGAAGUUGUCCUUGAAAGAAAAUGAUUUGUUUUUAAAUAUAAAUGAGUUUGAUCGUCAACGGCUCAUGGUAAGUGAAAACAAGUUUUCUGUUAAUAAAAUAAUCUUUCAAAAGGACUUCCGAUCAUGAGUAAUAAUUAGAGUUGGUAGAAUUAUUCUUGUUUUAAAUAUUUAUAUCCACGUGUUUAUGGUGCUUUAGUGGUGAAUGUUGCAUUAGUUGUGAAUAUGUGUGCCUUAGUGGUGAGUGAGUGCAUUCGUUGUGGAUUUGUUGCCUUACUGGUGAAUGUUUGCAUUAGUUGUGGUUAUGUGCCUGUGUGGUGGUUUUGAGUAUUAGAAUAGGAGCCUUCGUGGUGGACCGGGAACCAAGCCUUGGCCGGGUGAUUGGUUACGGUCAGUUUUAGAGCUCUAGUCUGUCGGUACUUCAUGGGGGAUGACUAUGUGUUGACGAACCUAUGAGUACGUGUUUGUCUAGUUACUUAUGAGGGAUGACUAUGCGUUGACGAACUCAUAAGUAAGGGUUGAGAAAUGAUUGUGUGGUGUUAUUAUUUAAAUUUCUUGUUUUAAGAAUCUCCUGAACUAUGCUUAAUGCAAGAGAUUCUUUAGUUUUAUUUGUGUGAUUUUUUAGUAGAAUCCUGAACUACGCUUUUUGCAGGAUUUCAUUAUGAUUUGUUUGGUUUUGUAAUUGUUGUCGUUUUNNNNNNNNNNNNNNNNNNNNUUUUGUCUCGAAUGACAAGUUUGUGGGUUAGGACUUGAGUUUUGGUUCGAGUCGGUUUAUGUUGUUUUUGUUUGUGACUAAGUGGAGAUUCUAUUCUAGGUGGUUGACGAUACGUGUUCGCAUCUUGCCUUUUUGCUAAGAGAAGACGCAGCAGGAGUUUUUGUUUAAGGUGAGUAAAAUCUCACUAAGGUCCACUUUGUGGCCUAUUGAUUUUGAUAUGAUGUUGAUGAUAAUUAUUAUGAUAAUUAUUAGGAUGAUGAAUAUGAUGGUGGUCUUGAUGAUGAUGAUUUUGAUGAUGAUGAUAAUUAUUGCUAAUUGUGAAGUUGUCCUUGAAAGAAAAUGAUUUGUUUUUAAAUAUAAAUGAGCUUGAUCGUCAAUGGCUCAUGGUAAGUGAAAACAAGUUUUCUGUUAAUAAAAUAAUCUUUCAAAAGGACUUCCGAUCAUGAGUAAUAAUUAGAGUUGGUAGAAUUAUUCUUGUUUUAAAUAUUUAUAUCCACGUGAAUAUGUGUGCCUUAGUGGUGAGUGAGUGCAUUCGUUGUGGAUUUGUUGCCUUAGUGGUGAAUGUUUGCAUUAGUUGUGGUUGUGUGCCUGUGUGGUGGUUUUGAGUAUUAGAAUAGGAGCCUUCGUGGUGGACCGGGAACCAAGCCUUGGCCGGGUGAUUGGUUACGGUCAGUUUUAGAGCUCUAGUUUGUCGGUACUUCAUGAGGGAUGACUAUGUGUUGACGAACCUAUGAGUACGUGUUUGUCUAGUUACUUAUGAGGGAUGACUAUGCGUUGACGAACUCAUAAGUAAGGGUUGAGAAAUGAUUGUGUGGUGUUAUUAUUUAAAUUUCUUGUUUUAAGAAUCUCCUGAACUAUGCUUAAUGCAAGAGAUUCUUUAGUUUUAUUUGUGUGAUUUUUUAGUAGAAUCCUGAACUACGCUUUUUGCAGGAUUUCAUUAUGAUUUGUUUGGUUUUGAAUUGUUGCGUUUUCUUAAUUUCUUCUUUUCAUUUCUUUUGAUGGUAAGUGUUUUCCUGAAUUCAUUUUAAUGCAUGAACUCCCAGUUUUAUUCAUGUGUUGUUGGAUUGAGUCAUUUUUGUAGAUUUACUCAUACGAGCUUUUAAAUCUUACCGGGUUUGUUGUUUACAACCCGGUGCACCAAUCCAUGGUGUAGAGGUUGUUUUUGCAGGUCAGGUUUAGCAGAGUUGAGGCUGCGGCAGCUUCAUUUUGUUUACUUUCUAGUUUGCAGUGAGUUUGAGGGAGGUUUUAUUUGGUUCAAAUUAUUUUUCCACAAGUUGUAAAAAUAAAUUGUUGUAUUGUUUUUUAUGCUUUUUGGUUAUCAUGCCUUGAAUUUGGAAUUUUUUUUAUUUACCCAAAAUUCGGGGUGUGACAAAAAGGGCCAAACUUAGCCCUUUGGCUAGCCUAGUCCAGACCAAAGAGUGGUCUCUCAUCAGAAUAAAAAAUUAGAAUGAUACAUGUGGGUUGGCUGAAAUUGACUCUAAGUAUGACAAAUGGCGUAUGACAAAUGGCAGCAUUUAAUUGGUUAUACCCAUGCAUCAUAUUUCCCAACGGAAAAAUUUUCCAAUGCAAUUAUGGGGUUGUUUAAUAACGGCGACUAGUUGUUCAUUAAAUCAAAUAAACAAUAUUUUUUCUCUUAAAUAUUUUUCUUGGUCUAAAUCUAAAUAAUGUUAUAAUAAAAUAAAAUUAUAAGUUUGAAAAUAUAAUGUGAAAUCAUAAAAUAUUUGAUUGGGCAAAAAUUUAGCCCUCUCUUACUGGAGAUCGUUUAGUAGUCUAUAAAUAAAAAAUAAUAUUUUUGAGGGCUAAAUUAUAGCCAUGGCCCUAAUAUAGCCAUCUCCUACUGGAGAUGACUUUAAUACCCCAAAACAAAGCCUAAUAAAAAUUUACCCUUUUUACUUGAUAACUUUUACAUGCUAAUUUCGAUUUUAACGUAUAGCAUGUCCACG